rnacentral:rRNA from 1 species
CCUACGGGCGGCAGCAGUGAGGAAUAUUGGUCAAUGGACGAGAGCCUGAACCAGCCAAGUAGCGUGAAGGAUGACUGCCCUCUGGGUUGUAAACUUCUUUUAUAUGGGAAUAAACUGUUCCACGAGUGGGCUUUUGUAUGUACCAUAUGAAUAAGGGUCGGCUAACUCCGUGCCAGCAGCCGCGGUAAUACGGAGGAUCCGAGCGUUAUCCGGAUUUAUUGGGUUUAAAGGGAGCGUAGGUGGAUUGUUAAGUCAGUUGUGAAAGAUUGCGGCUCAACCGUAAAAUUGCAGUUGAAACUGGCAGUCUUGAGUACAGUAGAGGUGGGCAGAAUUCGUGGUGUAGCGGUGAAAUGCUUAGAUAUCACGAAGAACACCGAUUGCGAAGGCAGCUCACUGGACUGCGACUGACGCUGAGGCGCGAAAGUGUGGGUAUCAAACAGGAUUAGAUACCCCUGUAGUC